rnacentral:ribozyme from 1 species
UUUUUUAAUUUAACUUUUUUUAAACUUUUUUUUUAUUAAUUUUUUUUUUUUUUAUACUGUGUGAUGUUUUCAAGGGGGGU